rnacentral:lncRNA from 1 species
GGCUCAGCAGGAAAAAACACUGGCUGCUCUUCCAGAGGACCCAGGUUCAAUUCCAAGCACUUACAUGGUAGCUCACAGCUAUCCAAGUCCAGUCCCAAGGACUGAAGGCUCUCCUCUGGCCUCCGUAGGCACCAGGAAACGUACCUGUAACAUGCACUGGGAUACCACACCCUCUGGAAUUUCAGGAAAACGUUGUCGAAGAUCAUGGAGAACCUGAAUAUCAAGCUGUGGACUGUUUUGCGCCAUGCCAGAGUCAAUGUUGGUCAACUAUCUCUUAGGAAAUGGAUAUUAGCAGGACUUCCAAAAGUAAUAAUCUUCCAAACACUCUGUCAUUUUCUUCUAAAAUAAAUAAAAGUUUAGUUAAGUCU